AUUGAACGCUGGCGGCAGGCCUAACACAUGCAAGUCGAACGAGUGGCAGACGGGUGAGUAAUGUCUGGGAAACUGCCUGAUGGAGGGGGAUCACUACUGGAAACGGUAGCUAAUACCGCAUACCAUCAGAUGUGCCCAGAUGGGAUUAGCUAGUGGGUGGGGUAUAGGCUCACCUAGGCGACGAUCCCUAGCUGGUCUGAGAGGAUGAGCAGCCACACGGGAACUGAGACACGGUCCAGACUCCUACGGGAGGCAGCAGUGGGGAAUAUUGCACAAUGGGCGCAAGCCUGAUAGAGCCAUGCCGCGUGUGUGAAGAAGGCCUUCGGUUUGUAAAGCACUUUCAGUGGGGAGGCGUUACCCGCAGAAGAAGCACCGGCUAACUCCGUGCCAGCAGCCGCGGUAAUUC
rnacentral:rRNA from 1 species